rnacentral:misc_RNA from 1 species
GUGUUCUCACACGGAUUGCUUAGUUUCAAGUCUAGAUGGAUACCAUAACGUUAACGUCAUAAACCAUCAUUAUCCUUCCGAUUAUCGGCUCUGUUCGUGUUCACCAUUAAAGACAAGGACGGGUGUGAUUCCAUGCGUGGAAAUAAUAAUUUUAGACGAAAUGCAUCAACUCCAUUCAAGUAAUAAUGGAAGAGCCGUUUUGCUCUGAUAAAC